GACGAACGCUGGCGGCGUGCUUAACACAUGCAAGUCGAACGGAAAGGCCCCUUUGGGGGUACUCGAGUGGCGAACGGGUGAGUAACACGUGAGUAACCUGCCCUUGACUUCGGGAUAACUUCAGGAAACUGGGGCUAAUACCGGAUAGGAAUCCUUGCUGCAUGGUGGGGGUUGGAAAGCUUCGGCGGUUUUGGAUGGACUCGCGGCUUAUCAGCUUGUUGGUGGGGUAGUGGCUUACCAAGGCUUUGACGGGUAGCCGGCCUGAGAGGGCGACCGGCCACAUUGGGACUGAGAUACGGCCUAGACUCCUACGGGAGGCAGCAGUGGGGAAUAUUGCACAAUGGGCGGAAGCCUGAUGCAGCAACGCCGCGUGCGGGAUGACGGCCUUCGGGUUGUAAACCGCUUUCAGCAGGGGCGAAGCUUGUGGUGACGGUACCUGCAGAAGAAGCACCGGCUAACUACGUG
rnacentral:rRNA from 1 species